CUGCUUUCUCUCUUAAGAUUCUCAUUCUGGGGGAAGCCAGCUGCCACGUCGUGAGGGCAUGAAGAGACCCACAUGGGGGUGAACUGAAGCCACCAGCCAACAGCCACAUGAGUGAGCCCGGAGGUGGAUCUUCCCGCCCCAGCUGAGCCCUCAGAGGACGUCAGCUCUGGCUGACACCCUGAAAGCAACUUCAUGACAGACGCCAAGACAGAACCACACAAUUAGUUCCAUCAUUCAGCCAAGGUUUUAGUAGGAAGGAUGUCUCAUUUGGCCAAAGGGACAAGUGCAGCAUUGGUGCCGAGGAGCACGUGCCCAGGGAAUGCCAACUGCAGACCGAGUGAAAGCAGCAAAGUCUCUGUACAUUUCUGUGAACCUCAAGAAAACGCUGAAACUAAGAACACACAAGUUACAGGAAGCUGACAAACUAUCCAGAACAUUUAAAAAUCUUUUGUCAGUGUUGAGUGAUGUGACCUUUAUGAACUGAAUACGUCCUAAAUCUUCUCAAGGACACAUCAAUGUCAUCUGCCCUUUGUUCAUCCACCAGGCUGCCUGGAGCCCAAACCUGUUCAUCUGGGUCCUAAAGAGAAAGUCCAGGGAGGGGAGGCGGGACUGUGUAAGAGUGCUACCUCAGGUGAGCUCGGCUGUCUGGCCGUGAGCGUGUCCUACAGGGUAUACCAAAUGUCAGUGCUUAGGGUCAACAAAAAAGUGACUCUACAUCGUAGGACAUUGGUGCAUUAAUAACUUAUAACAUUUAAAGGGUCUGGAAAAUGAACACCAAAAAAUGUAAAUAUGAAAAUACAAAUAAAAAUUUUCACCCUAAAA